UUAUUAAAAUAAUAGAAAACAAAACAGAGCAAAACAAAGAUUUUAUUCUUAAAAGUUCAAACAAAGAGUUUAUUGAAUUAACUAAGCUAUCUUUGGACGAGCUUGAAAAAAAGCUUUCACUAACAUGGAAAGUAAGAGAUUUUCAAAAAAAAUAUAGAGCAUGUGAAAAGUAUGGAAGAUAGUACAUGCAUUGCUUAGAUAAAAUUAUAAGAGGAUGGAAAGAGGCACCAUAGGAAAGAUUUUUUCACAUGAAGGUGAAGUGAUGAGUGAUUAAGAUGUGUUUGGUCUAUGAAGCGCAAAACUUUCAGAGAUAUGAGAGAGUAAGACACUGUAUGAAAACGCUGCGAAGAGAAACACAUGAUACAAGAAAACAUUCGACAAAGAUCAGCAAAAAAAAAAUCUUAAAUCAUAAAUAGAUUUAGAUUAAUAAGAAAUUCUCAACCGCAGUGAUGUUAAAUGAUUUCUUGUUAUGAAAGUCCCAUUUCCAUAUCAAUUAAAACCAUUAUCAGAUUACAAUAAAAUAAACUAUACUUAGUUUUCAUUACGAUUAAUACUAUAUUUUUCUCUCUUAGAAGACUAACCAACUGUCUUCCAGUUAGAUGAUAGGCUUUUAUUGACUUUCCCCUUCAUUCGACAUUCUUUGACUUGAAGGUAUUUUCUCUUCUGCAACACAGUUUUUUCCACAUCAACCUGAUCCCCCAAAUACAUGUAAAGAUACCCAAAAUCGUUUUCUUGUAGAGGGAAAAAGAAGUGGAGAAUCCUUCCAUUAUUUACCAAAAAUUUCAUUCACUACUUGGCGUUUGACAGUUGGCAGUAAUGUGUUCUUGAAACCUUUGAUGCAGAAAAUUUUAUACCUACCAACCAAAAAAGGUAAUUUGCACAAAUCAAUUAAUUUGUUUCUAAAUCAAAUACUAAAUAACCAAAGAAAUGCUAAACAACUUACAUCGGAUAUGUAGACCUGGUAAGACUAAUAGUUCGUCCCACCAAUUUCACUUCAUUAAAGUUUUGCAACGCUGCCAUUGCUUCUUCGUGAGAUGGAAACUCAACUCUAAAUUCUCGUUUCUUGUUUAAAACCACUUGGCAGUUGCAACCUUGAAAGAACUCUAGACUGUUACAAUUCCAAUAUUAAAUCAUAAGAGAACCGUCAAAAAAUCUAAACAAAAGAUUAAUAUAGAGACAAAGAAAUCAACUUACAUCUCUAGUUCGGAGAUUUUCCUAUGGACAUUAGAGAGCAUGAGAAUAUUACUUUCUAAGAAUUCUUCAAACUCUUCAUCCGAACUGGAGGCGUAUUUGGCAUCCCAAGUAACAGGAAAUAAUCCGCUGGGCAUUCUUUGUUUCUCUAUCCAAGCAAUAUCCUACAAGUGAAUACUAAUUAUUAAGUUGUUGGAAACAAGUUAGUUUAAGAAGCAUAAUAUAUAAAUGACGUCAUUACAAGAAAUAUCUACAUUAUUACCAAGAGAGAAGAGCUAUUAUAUGUUCUUAGGUGAUCACCCGCGCUACGCCGCAGUUUUUUCAGAUUUUUUUUAUAUUGUUUAAUUUAAAUAUUUUUUAUAUAUCUAAUUAUUCACUCAUGCAAUAAGAAAAUAUUUUUAGUAUUAAAAUAUUUUUUUCUAACAACAUUCUCAAUAUUUCAUCAUAUACAUAAUUCAUAAACAACGUUCAUCUUAAACCAAUUUAACCGAGGGUAGUGUUCAAUUCUAGAAUCCUAAGAAUUUGAUGAUGGAGCUCCGUACGUAUUUUGCACCUUCGGUGAUUUAUUAUAUAAAUAUUAAUUUAAGAGAAUAAC
rnacentral:sRNA from 1 species